UACGAGGGGAGCAAGCGUUGUUCGGAUUUACUGGGCGUAAAGGACGCGUAGGCGGUCGUGACAAGUCACUUGUGAAAUCUCCGGGCUUAACUCGGAACGGUCAAGUGAUACUGUCGGACUAGAGUACAGAAGGGGCAACUGGAAUUCUCGGUGUAGCGGUGAAAUGCGUAGAUAUCGAGAGGAACACCUGCGGCGAAGGCGGGUUGCUGGGCUGAUACUGACGCUGAUGCGCGAAAGCCAGGGGAGCGAACGGG
rnacentral:rRNA from 1 species